ACGUAGGUGGCAAGCGUUGUCCGGAUUUAUUGGGUUUAAAGGGUGCGUAGGCGGUUCUUUAAGUCAGUGGUGAAAUACAGCCGCUUAACGGUUGAGGUGCCAUUGAUACUGAAGAACUUGAGUACAGACGAGGUAGGCGGAAUUGACGGUGUAGCGGUGAAAUGCUUAGAUAUCGUCAAGAACACCGAUAGCGAAGGCAGCUUACUAGACUGUAACUGACGCUGAGGCACGAAAGUGUGGGGAUCAAACAGGAUUAGAUACCCUGGUAGUCCACACUGUAAACGAUGAUUACUCGAUGUUGGCGAUACACAGCCAGCGUCUUAGCAAAAGCGAUAAGUAAUCUACCUGGGGAGUACGCUGGCAACAGUG
rnacentral:rRNA from 1 species